rnacentral:misc_RNA from 1 species
UGUGGGAGCGAGCUUGCUCGCGAUGCUGGCGGCGCGGUUUUUCUGAUUCACCGUGUCGAUCCCAUCGCGAGCAAGCCCGCUCCCACA